rnacentral:rRNA from 1 species
UUUCGCAUUGAGCGCAACCUUAUCCUUGUUGCCAGCAGGUGGGGGGUGGGAACUCAAAGGAGACUGCCGGUGAUAAACCGGAGGAAGGUGGGGAUGACGUCAAGUCAUCAUGGCCCUUACGAGUAGGGCUACACACGUGCUACAAUGGCAGAUACAAAGAGAAGCGACCUCGCGAGAGCAAGCGGAACUCAUAAAGUCUGUCGUAGUCCGGAUUGGAGUCUGCAACUCGACUCCAUGAAGUCGGAAUCGCUAGUAAUCGUAGAUCAGAAUGCUACGGUGAAUACGUUCCCGGGCCUUGUACACACCGCCCGUCACACCAUGGGAGUGGGUUGCAAAAGAAGUAGG